AAAUCUUUCCUGCAGCAGCAUCUGGAGAAGCUGGGAGGGUCCCAACCAACCACAGGGUGUUCUCUGGAGGCCCAGCUGAGGCGCGUGGGCGGAAACGGCCCCUGGUCUCCGCUUGCUUUCUGCAUGAAACACUCACGGAGCACACCACAAGGGUUUUCAGAGUGACACGAUAUAUAUUUAAGGGUGAGUCAAACCUCAAAUUACAUUGCCCAAGAACGGAGCUGCUGCAAGGAAAGUGGCUAAAUUAUUGGCGUGAGGAACAGGAUGCCGGAGCCUAUGGCGCGGAGAAACCACUAGUAAAAGUGGAAGGAAACGACUUUUGAAGAUAUUGCUACCUGUGCUAAGAAACCUCAAGUGCUUACCAACCGUUUCUGAUCAAACCUGAAAAGUUCAGAGAGCGAGAGGAUUUAAAAGAGGAUGCGUUAAAAAGCCUCAAUCCCUUCCCUGUCCCUGUCCGCCUCUCCUUGGGCCAAAUGGAAGGUUAACAAAGCCGGCUUUAAAUGCUUCAAACAAUAUUUUAUGGAAGAAACCAUUUCCCCCCGAAGAUGCAUAGAUCUCUAAAAUGUUCCUGGAGCACUCUGGAAGAUUGCUGUGUAAUGUUUCUUCCAAAGGAAGGGGAACUUGCAGAACAUUGAAGAGAUGCCCAGACCAUGCAAAGCUAUAAGCGCCUUCAACUUACUAAGGAAUUAUGUUGGAACUAAGAGAAACUUAAGAGGUACUUGUUACAUGGAGUACAGUGAAAAAAACCAACCACUGUAAUGAGAUUUCUCAGUUUGGGGCCCUUCCUGAGAACGCAGUGGCCCUCGGAGAUGAAGAGAGCCCCAUCAUAUACAUGAGAACUGAAGAAACGCCGUGCCUUCUGACAACCCCAUCUAGCAUAUGCCAACUUGAGGGUGCUGUGCUUCUAAUUUCAAACUCAUCAUCUGUUGGGGUACCACCACCAGCUGGCUUUGCCCUGGUUUUCUCACCAGGUGGCUCAGGGACCGUGCUCAGUGGGACAGCGAUGAGAAUGAAGAAAUGGAGAUUUUUGAGGGACUGAGUAAUCUGCCUGAAGUUGUAUAACGUGAAAAAACAGGAUUCAGACUAAAGCCUGUUUGACCUGAGAGUUUGUGUUCUUAAUCAUGGUGCUAUGCUGUUUCCCUGUGUUUUUUUUUGUUG